AUCAACUAAGCAGGGCUCAUAGAGGCUCACAGAGACUGAAGCAGCAAUCACAGAUCCUGCAUGGGUCCGCACUAGGCACUCUGUACGUAUGUUAUGGCUGUUAGCUUGGUGUUCUUCUGGGACUUCUAACAGUUGGAGUUGGAGUGUUUCUGACUCUUGCCUGUUCAUGGGACCCUUUUCCUCCUGUGGGGUUUCUUUAUCCAGCCUUAAUAAGAAGCUUUGUGCCUAUUCUUACUGUGUCUUGCUGUCCUGUAUUCAGUUGAUAUCACUGGGAGGCCUGCUCACUUCUAAAGGGAAACAAAGGUUCNAGUGGAUCUGGAGGAGUGGGGAGGUGGGGGUGAAACUGGGAGGAAAGAAGUGAAGGCUGUAGUCAGUAUGUUUUGUAUGAGAGAAGAAUACAGGAAAAGAAAAAAAGGCAUUAGUGUGCAAGCUGUGUGAGCAGGACAGACAGCAAGGUCAGUAACUAUGAAGGAACCCUCAGACACAAGAGCGGGUGGGUGUGGGCACCGAGCAGAACAUUUGCAGAGGACUUCCUUUUGCUCAUGUCGCCUCAAAGACCUUGGAGUUUGUCUCUGCUCACCAGUUCAGUGUUGCAGCAUCUCCCAUGUGCAAUGGACACAGCAAGGGUCUACCUUGGUUUAAAGCCAUCUAAGACUCCGGGGAUUCAGUGUGCAUCACCUCCAUCUCUUCCCCGAGCACUGAGCACUGGAGUUGGCACCCUGUGUGUCAGAAAUAAGGAAGGCUGACAGGAGGCGUGGAUGAAGGGUGCCAUGACUUAGGGAUGGAUGAAGAACAAACACAGAGGCAGAAAAUCUGUCUACAGUGGUCAUGAUGCCUGUCGGUGCCCACAUUCACACAGGUUGGCUCUGAAGCUCAGCUGCACUGGGCUGACCCUACUUGUCUUGACCCUGGUUGGGAUAAGAUGAGUGUUUUAGGUAAGUGAGGCAUGAACUUGCGCUUCAGAAUUCUUCCUCUGUUUCCUUCAUAAAUAUCUGUGCCUCUACACAUGAUAUGACCUCCUUGAUUCCUGGGGAGGAUCAAUGACGUGAGUAUGUCCAGGACAGUAUUCCAUAACCAGUGAGAAAUUUCACAUAUCCUUCAUGCUUCCAAAUUACCCAGAGACCCAUUAGAGGCUCUUACACACGAAAGGCUCUCUAAGAGACCCAAGCGUGACAAAGAUGGCGCCAGCAGAUUCUGUCCUUUCCCUGUCCCUCUCCCUUGCUAAAGCCCCCAAUGUCCAUUCCUUUAUUCAGCUACUUCCUAAUGCCUGACUUAUUCCUGAGGCUGAUCACUGAGGUCCAGCUUUCAAAGCAUCAAGGUCCCAUCAUCAAAAUCCAUUAUUCGACUAUUCUGACUAACGUGCCAAUCAGGACUUCCCAACGAAUCCUAGCACAGACUUCUCCUUUUUUUCCUUAAAAGCUCACUCUUGUAAAAACAUCUGAUGCUGUCUUUGCCUGAUCCAGAGGCAACCCCACCCUGAUCCCUCCAGAGUAAUAAAUGUUCUUUGUGCUGAGAAUUUGGUGUCUGGUGUGUUCUGAGCCAAGUGCCGCCAAUUUACACACUAUACACAUGCACUCGGAACCUAGAAAAAUAAGUUAUAAUUGUGACAAAAAUAUAACAAAGAAAACUGAAAGGCUCAAGUGUUUGGUUUAAGUGGCUUCUAAGCUCCGAUGGCACCAGCUGUCUUACAUGGAGAGGGUGUGCUAAUACUCAUUCUGAAGAUGAGGAUUCAGGUCAGUGCCAGUAAGUUAAGGGCUUCUGUAAGGCCAUUGGAUAGUAUGUGACUAAAUAGAGGUGCCAACCCAUGUGUUCUGUGUUUUUCUUCUUUGUUUGUUUAUAUAUUCUGUCUCCAAACUCCUCCCUAAGCCCAGUUUGCUAAUAUUUUAUUCUCAGUCCAGAAGUUCAGAUUUGUUUAACUAACUUGAUAUCCUGGAGUGAGAAUUGGAACACACCAUUUCCACCAUUCAUUUUGCCAUUAAUCCUCUGUUUUCUCAUUUAUCAGUGCGAGUCUUAAUACAAAAACCAUCAAUAGAAUCAUGCCGAGUGUUUAUUCAAGAGACCCUGGGUGAAACAACAGGUAAUUCUUGUGGCUUGAGUUUUGCAAGAAUGAUACUGAGGUUUACUAUUUACCAGGAGUUACGUCAGCCAAGGCUUAUAACAGUCAUCUGUGAAGACGAUAUCACCAUAUCUUAUGUUAGAGGAAAUUGCCUCAUAGAAACUUGAGGGUGUCAUGAUUGGUAGUUAAUAAGAAUGGAAACAUCACUGAAACUGUGUAACCUUGAAACCUGAGACAUUAACCACUUGGCUAUACUGCCUACUGAUGCUAGCCUACUUGAUUAUUAAGUUAAGAAAAAGCUCUAUGUCAAACAGGUAAAUUUGUCUAAAAUUAAUUAAUAGAAAAAGUGUAUUCCUUUCUAUUUAUAUUUGAUAUGUCAUAACAGUAAUCUUGUUUUCUGCAAAGGUUAAUAAAAGCGUGUGUUAGUAAAAACUGCCGUGUGUCUGUAGUGCAGCAAGAAGAGGGUGUAAUACACCAUGUCUUCCUCUCUCUCCAGAUAGUCCAACUAAGUUAAAGUGCCCAGAAGACUGGCUUUCACACCGAGAUAAAUGCUUUCGUGUUUUUGAAGCAUGUGAGUUUGUAAGGACAAUGGUCAUGCCAUUUCGAGAAGACAGAAUUUUAGGGUAAUUUUACAUUCUUUUCACCUGCUUCCUCCAUGAUGUUCUCUGGGUAGAAGUUAACAUGGACAUCCCUCUUCCAGCUGAGCACACACACUUACUCUCAGCACUUUGAUCAUUGCUGAUUACAAAGCUAUGGACAUAGAAAACAGUAUGACAUCUUGACCUUUUACCAAAUGAACAACAAUAGGUUCCUCUUUUGGGCCCAUGAUGCCCAUGGCCCUGGGUUUAAUACAUUUAUAGCACCAAGUGUGAGUUCCCUCCUGUAGAGUAGGAGAGCUCAAAUCCAAUAGGAAACCAGUUGUUUACCCUCCAUAACCCUCAUACCGGUAUUGUAUGGGUGAUUAUCUUGUGUGGCUGAUUGAUGUUGUAGGGCAAGAGUAGUGAUGGCUUCUUCCUCAGCAGCCGACACAGUGCCUUUCAGCAUUAUGAAAGUUUACUAUCAGCUUAGUAGUUUCCAGGUCAAUUCCAGAUUGGUUAAUUUUAUUCUGAAAAUAUGUGGUAUUUUCAGCAAUAGGGCCUUGCCUAAUAGUAAUUGUGUAAAAUCAAGAAUAAUAGCCUAUGUUGUUUUGAGGACUUCUGGGGUAUCCCUUACAAGAAUUUUACAGUAUAUCCCAUGUUUGGAACUGAGGUAUUAGACAAUAAUCAUAUACA
rnacentral:sRNA from 1 species